CUAAAAGAUAGAUCCCCAUCUGUCGUGCAACUUCAACAAUGCUUUGAAAGCUGGGGCUCUACCGAUUUCCCCAUGCUUGCAGGAUUGUAUUUAGCAUGGAGCAGUAUUUGUGUGUUUGACUGUAAGCAUGUGUUUGUAUGGAGUAUGAUUGUAGUGGUGUGUUUGUAUGUAGUGUUUGCAUUUGAAUGCAAGCAUGCAUUUAUGUGUAG